rnacentral:rRNA from 1 species
UCCAGACUCCUACGGGAGGCAGCAGUGGGGAAUAUUGCACAAUGGGGGGAACCCUGAUGCAGCAACGCCGCGUGGGUGAAGAAGUACUCCGGUAUGUAAAGCCCUGUCAGCAGGGAAGAAAAUGACGGUACCUGACCAAGAAGCCCCGGCUAACUACGUGCCAGCAGCCGCGGUAAUACGUAGGGGGCAAGCGUUAUCCGGAUUUACUGGGUGUAAAGGGAGCGUAGACGGUUCUGCAAGCCAGAUGUGAAAGCCCGGGGCUCAACCCCGGGACUGCAUUUGGAACUGUAAGGCUAGAGUGUCGGAGAGGCAGGCGGAAUUCCUAGUGUAGCGGUGAAAUGCGCAGAUAUUAGGAGGAACACCAGUGGCGAAGGCGGCCUGCCGGACGAUGACUGACGUUGAGGCUCGAAAGCGUGGGGAGCAAACAGGAUUAGAUACCCCCGUAUA